AGUGAACGCUGGCGGUAGGCCUAACACAUGCAAGUCGAACGGCAGCACAGUAAGAGCUUGCUCUUACGGGUGGCGAGUGGCGGACGGGUGAGGAAUACAUCGGACUCUACUUUUUCGUGGGGGAUAACGUAGGGAAACUUACGCUAAUACCGCAUACGACCUACGGGUGAAAGCAGGGGAUCUUCGGACCUUGCGCGAUUGAAUGAGCCGAUGUCGGAUUAGCUAGUUGGCGGGGUAAAGGCCCACCAAGGCGACGAUCCGUAGCUGGUCUGAGAGGAUGAUCAGCCACACUGGAACUGAGACACGGUCCAGACUACUACGGGAGGCAGCAGUGGGGAAUAUUGGACAAUGGGCGCAAGCCUGAUCCAGCCAGACCGCGUGGGUGAAGAAGGCCUUCGGGUUGUAAAGCCCUUUUGUUGGGAAAGAAAAGCAGCAGGUUAAUACCCCGCUGUUCUGACGGUACCCAAAGAAUAAGCACCGGCUAACUUCGUG
rnacentral:rRNA from 1 species